GUGUGUGUGUGUGUGUGUGUGUGUGUGUGUGUGUGUGUGUGUGUGUGUAUAUAUAUAUACAUAUACACACACAUACACAUACACACACACACACACACACAGCUCUCC